GACGGUAGUCGUAUGCUCGUCUCGAGACUAAGCCAUGCAAGUCCAAGUACACGUCCUUGAACGACGGAAACUGCGAACGGCUCAUUAAAUCAGUUGCGAUCUACUCGGCGUUCCGCGCCGCCGGAUAACCGUAGUAAUUCUAGGGCUAAUACGUGCGAAGCGCCGAAGCCGCGAGGCGACGGGCGUUCUCGCCGGAUGUAGGAACCGACCCGGGGACCGCCGGGGCAACCCCGGCGCCCCCGAGACGGGGCGAACCACGGUGAAAUGACGGAUCGUCGGCCCCGCGCCGGCGACUCGCCGAAUGAGUUUCUGACCUAUCAACUCGAGACGGCGGGGUAGAGGCCCGCCGCGGUAACGACGGGUAACGGGGAAUCAGGGUUCGAUUCCGGAGAGGGAGCCCGAGAAACGGCUACCACUUCCAAGGAAGGCAGCAGGCGCGCAACUUACCCUAAUCUCGAUUC
rnacentral:rRNA from 1 species